rnacentral:rRNA from 1 species
AUUGAACGCUGGCGGCGUGCUUAACACAUGCAAGUCGUACGCGAAAGGGGCUUCGGUCCCGAGUAAAGUGGCGCACGGGUGAGUAACACGUGGAUAAUCUGCCUCUAUGAUGGGGAUAACAGUUGGAAACGACCGCUAAUACCGAAUACGCUCAUAAUGAACUUUAUGAGGAAAGUGGCCUCUAGCUUGCAAGCUAUCGCAUAGAGAUGAGUCCGCGUCCCAUUAGCUAGUUGGUGGGGUAAACGGCCUACCAAGGCAACGAUGGGUAGCCCGAUCUGAGAGGAUGAUCGGCCACACUGGGAACUGAAACACGGUCCAGACUCCUACGGGAGGCAGGCAGUGGGGAAUAUUGCGCAAUGGGCGAAAGCCUGACGCAGCGACGCCGCGUGAGGGAUGAAAGGUCUUCGGGAUCGUAAACCUCUGUCAGAAGGGAA